rnacentral:rRNA from 1 species
AACGUAGGACGCAAGCGUUAUCCGGAGUUACUGGGCGUAAAGCGCGGGCAGGCGGCUCGAUGCGUCUGAUGUGAAAUCUCCUCGCUCAACGGGGAGAGGCCAUUGGAAACGGUCGGGCUGGAGGGCAGUAGAGGCAGGCGGAAUUCCGGGUGGAGUGGUGAAAUGCGUAGAGAUCCGGAGGAACACCAGAGGCGAAGGCGGCCUGCUGGGCUGCACCUGACGCUGAAACGCGAAAGCCAGGGGAGCGAACGGG